AGCAGAGGAAACAUCAUGAGUUUUUAAGGAAGCUUUUCCAGCACCUUUUACUGAAGUGGGCAUGGUAGACGAUUCAUUGCCUAAAUCUACUGAAACAAGCUUUCUUACUUUAAGUCAAGAGAUGAGUCCUCUGGAAAUCAGUUACACCCAUUUGUCCACAAGCAAUUGCUUAGAUUCUCUUAAACAGUGGCAGCAAUGUUACCACAACGAAUUGAGCUGCCCUAUCUGCCUCCAAGUUGCUACUCUCCCUGUAGAAACCAACUGUGGACAUCUAUUUUGUGGUGAGUUAACAGGGUAAUGACCAG
rnacentral:lncRNA from 1 species